rnacentral:rRNA from 1 species
AUUGAACGCUGGCGGCAUGAUUUACACAUGCAAGUCGAACGGUAACAGGCCGCAAGGUGCUGACGAGUGGCGAACGGGUGAGUAAUGCAUCGGAACGUGCCCAGUCGUGGGGGAUAACUACUCGAAAGAGUAGCUAAUACCGCAUACGAUCUAUGGAUGAAAGCGGGGGACCGUAAGGCCUCGCGCGAUUGGAGCGGCCGAUGUCAGAUUAGGUAGUUGGUGGGGUAAAGGCUCACCAAGCCAACGAUCUGUAGCUGGUCUGAGAGGACGACCAGCCACACUGGGACUGAGACACGGCCCAGACUCCUACGGGAGGCAGCAGUGGGGAGUUUUGGACAAAGGGCGCAAGCCUGAUCCAGCAAUGCCGCGUGCAGGAAGAAGGCCUUCGGGUUGUAAACUGCUUUUGUACGGAACGAAACGGCUCUGGUUAAUACCCGGGGCUAAUGACGGUACCGUAAGAAUAAGCACCGGCUAACUACGUG